GUCUGCACUGUCCCGCAUUAACGACGUGCAUUCACUCAGGACUUACCUUUUGGUCCGUGAAUUAGUUAUCUCCGCCAAAGUUGGCCGCCUUUUGGACAUAGCGCGCACCGUGGUUGUGCGACUUGGUUCAUGACUUGCACCAUUGUCCUUGCCAUCGCUCUGGUUGUCGUCGUCAAGACACCGCGAGCCGGAAGAUUUGGGCUGACUCGCAUUAUCGAUGUGCAUCCUCUGCGUACUUCCUUUUUGGUCCUGGAAUAAGUUAUC